rnacentral:rRNA from 1 species
AGUAACGCGUGAGGAACCUGCCUCAAAGAGGGGGACAACAGUUGGAAACGACUGCUAAUACCGCAUAAGCCCACGGCUCGGCAUCGAGCAGAGGGAAAAAGAGCAAUCCGCUUUGAGAUGGCCUCGCGUCCGAUUAGCUAGUUGGUGAGGUAACGGCCCACCAAGGCGACGAUCGGUAGCCGGACUGAGAGGUUGAACGGCCACAUUGGGACUGAGACACGGCCCAG